rnacentral:lncRNA from 1 species
CAUUACAGGUUAUGCAAAAGCAGAAACUUCAACACAGGAAAACUUUGCAAGUAAAUGUGCUGGCCCGGCACUUACCUCUCUCGAAUGGUAGGAUAAAGACCCUGCCAGUUUGGGGCCGGAAUAAGGUUGUUGUUACUGAGGUUCUGCUGGUGGUACUGCUGGACAGUGGUGCUGCUGGAGCUGGCUGGUUUUUUACGAGGGAAUAUAUCAGCAGCCAUCUUCUUCUUCUUUUUAGUCUUCAAGGUAAUUAUUUCAUAACAAACUGGGGGCAACUUGCUGUUGCUGCCGCCGCUGCUGUUGCCGCUGCUGCUGCUGCUAUUUGUUUUCUUCGAGCUUUUCUUGGACCUAUUCUUUACCGUCUCUGGAAGCAUCAAGAAGAAGGUGAGACAUUUCAUGUUCUUUUCCUUGUCAUCUACCAUGAGUACAGUGUGUCUCUCUUUACGGCUAGAGAUCCCAAAUUGGUGUAAACAUCAAGGAAAGGAGGCUAGCACGAGCCAAGAUGUUAACAGAAACCAACAAGCUGAUGUUUUGCUUCUUUUCUCAGCCGGACAAGGUGACCUUUUCACUAUGUUGAAUAGAAACUGCCUUUAAGUUUUAUCCAGUACUGGGUCUGCUAAAUACAUCUCCAUCAUGAUUCCUAUUUCUCUUAUUUGCUCAUAAAAACAACCCAGUUUCCUAGAUCACCUGCAAAUGCUACACUGAGCGAAGAUGACAGGCAGAGAGCCGCACUGCUUGUUCUCUGAAUUAGGUUAGCAAGAUGUGCUGGAGCCGCGCGAGUCUGUUCAGCCGGCUGAAGUUGUGUGGUGAAUGGAUCGGAGGAGAGUAGGUAUUACAGCCCUGCAGAUGGAGUCAGACAGCCAGUGCUCCGAGCCAAUAGCUGAAGUCACCAAUCAUGAUUGGACCAAGCAAAACAGUGACACCUAUUGUAACGUGCAUAGCUCUCAUAUUAAAGGAACAGCAGUUGCAUUCUGUUGCCUCCUGUAUUAUUGCAUAUUUAAAUAAGAUAAACAACCUAUGAAAUAUAUCUGCAAACCGGAAAGGAACAGUUUGUGCCCACGGAUUUCCCUUCAGUAGACAUACAUUUUAAUUUCCCUAGCUCAAUAAGCAGGAUCAAUUAACAAAGGGUAGGGACUGAUAUGUACUCUGUAUUUCUAGUAAAAUCUUUAUCCCGGCAGCACUUAGUUUCAAAUACUUCAAACAAAAUCCUCCAUUCUUCCAGCUAAAAUGGAUUAUUAAUAGCAAAACCAUACUAAACAACACAUUUAUUACAGCUUAAUGGAAAGGAAUGUUGUUUUUCUUUUUCCAGUCUCUUUGAAUGCAAGUUAUAGUCUAGUGCAAAAUAAGAGAGAUGAGGUCAUGUGUUCAUUUUACCUCCCAACAUUUUCUAGUUCCUAUAAUGAUCUUUGACAGGAGUUUCAGGUCAGAAAAUACUUUUAAAUUAGUCUAAGAUUAUACCAGUAGUAGUUUAGCAGCACUGAAACUACAGACAAAUAAAAAUAAGAUUCAAAUGAGACAAGUCUGCUAAUCAGUUUUUAAAAGCUGUAAUUCACUAAAAAUAUGUCAGAUGGGGGGCCCUGUUCAGGACCUCAAAAUCCAGCCUAAAUGUUAUGGCUACAUUUAAUUUGUCAUAAUUUUGAAGAAUAUAAUCCACAUCUUCUAACAGAAAACAAUAAUAAGGCCAUUCAAGAUGAUACAUGUUCUGAUGCCGCCUACUUAAAAUGCAAACAGGUUCUCUCUGCCUGGAAUCAGAAGAACAUAAACUACUACCUAUAUGGUUUUCAUAGAUGUGAACCCCUCAACAAUUUCUAGCUUUGUUGAACAAGAAAAAACAAAACACCUGCUGUAAGAUCCACACAUGUUUGUUUAUUUUUAAAGAGGGACUAAUCAGGAGACUUAAUCUCACCCCUAGCUAUCUGGACUACUCUCAUUUGUUCAGGUACAGCCGCUAUUUGCUACUCCCCCCAGCCCCCUCCGCGACCCCCGAACGCAGACUUCAUGGCCAUGGUCCUGCUUGUUGCACAGCAUUCAUCUGAAUAAUGAGUACCUGACAGAGUGAGGGCUCAACGAAUGGAGCUAUGAUGAUGAUUAUAACUAGUAAUCUGCUGCAGAUAACACACCGAAAUCAAACUUUAAUCCCUGGGACCCUCGGUCAUGAGACUGAGCCAAGGAAUAUCCUCUGUAUUGUCAUCAUUAUUACCCUUAAAUCCCUUACAUCAUUAUUGCAAAGCUAGUGCAAGGCAGACUGUGUAUGUAGGAACACGGCCUUUACCACAGGUUAUUCACCCCCAUUUUAGAUGGACCCUGAAGUGCUGCUUAUUUACUACAAUUAUUGUGUUCCCCAUCACAAGGCUACCACAAGCGUAUAUAUAUAUAUAUAUAUAUAUAUAUAUAUAUAUAUAUACACAUACACACACACACACACACAUAUACAUACACACAUACUUUCAAAUCACACAACGUUACAGGAAGAGAGCUCUAGAGACUCAUUUUUAAAGCCCAUGGUGAAAGGUAUAAAGAAGGAACAAAUGAGCUCCUAUUUGAACUAACUCCCAGACUGACGUUAAAAUCAAAGGAUUUCUCUCCUUGCUGGUCGGCUACAGAACUUCCUGACAACAACCUCCUAGGAAAGCCCCCACGACGGGAUGACAGGAAGGUCCUUGGUCCUUCUGACCAGGAUAGUCCCACACAUACCUGGCUUUCAGGUCUGACAGUAACCAAUUAGAAUGAAAAGGGAAACGAGCUGCUACAAGACAGACUCACUAAUAAUUGUUAACUGGACAGACAAAAUAGAAAAAGCACAGGGGCACCUGGGUGGCUCAGUUGGUUAAGCAUUUGACUCUUGGUUUUGGGCUCAACUCAUGAUCUCCCAGUUUGUGGGCUCCAAGCUGCUAGUGUGGAGUCUGCUUGGGAUUCUCUCUCUCCCUCCCUCUUUCUCUCUGCCCCUGCCCUGCUUGUGCAUGUUCUCUCUCAAAAUACAUAAAUAAACUUAAAAAAAAAAAAAAAAACAGGAAAAGCAUAAAAAGUAGAAGACUUCGUGGUUUUUGCUCAUUUCACAUGUUGUUCAACACCUUUUACCAAGAAAGCCUCAAACAAACACUGCUCUUACACCACUAAAAUAAAAAGUGCACCUAAUAGUUUGAGCGAAAAUUACAGAAUAUUUUAAAAACUUCUCUUUCUGAAAUUAAAGGUUUCAGGUAUUUGGACAAUUAAGUUUCGUGGAAAUAUUUUGUGAAUAUACUAGUUACAAGAAGCAGUCCUAAACUGGAGUCCCCUAAAACCGUGCUGCAAAGAGGGUGUUGCCCUUCAUGAGGUGUGUGGGGGCUGAUGAGCAUGGCUGUGAAAGAUGUGUUCUUCACUACAAAAAAAGUAAUCCAAUUAAAAGAUAAAAAUGACAUUUCAAUUUUUGUGGUCAAUCUGAAAAGCAUGAAAAUGAUAAUAAAAUCAAGACAUGGAAAACUUCUUAAGAGCUUCAUUUUCCUACCACGGUUUAAAAGACAGGUAGUAUAAAGUCCUUGCUACUACAAGUGUGGUCCACAGAACAGCAGCAUCAGCAGCAACACCAUCUCCUGGGAGCCUGUUAGAAAUCCAGAGUCUGCAUUUUAAUAAGACCCUCCAGGUAAUAAGUAUGAUGUUCAAGUUUGACAACACCUCAUGUAAGAUUAAAAUAAGAGGGUUACAGGGUCUCCCAAAGAUCCAGUAUCAACACCUGGUGCCAUGUUUUGCAUUCCAUUAUCAAGUAAAUGGAGAAAAAAUACAAAAUGAUUUAAUUUGGCUUGGUCAUAAAACUUAACCUUCAUGUCUUACUCUGAAAUUCUUCUGAUUAGGCCCAAAAUGUCAAAAUUCUAGGAUUCACGUGUGUGCACAGCCAACUGAGAGGCUUCAAAAUAUUCUUCAAUGCUCUGGAAAAGCUCAUGCCCAGAUUAUUUUACAGGACAACGACAGAGACCAUUUUAGUCAGAAACAUUAAGGAUUAAAGAAUGCCAAGAUGAACGACUUAAUAUUUAUACAAUAAUCUACUUCAUAAUUCUGUUUCAAAAAAUUAGUAUUGUGACACAGCAAAACUAGUAAUCAAAUAAUGUGGUUCAGUCCUGGUGCAGCCACAAAAGACUGUGUGUAUGUGUGUUGAAGGUGAGGGGUGCCUGAACAAAUCAUUUAGCCUUAAAGGGCCUCAAAUUCCUCAGCUACAAUAUGAAGAGGUUCUCUAGAAUAGAUGACUGUUUUUCAACCUGUACCUUCAAUCCACUUUAGUAAGAAAUGCAUUUUAUAUUCAGACUCAGUAUUAGCACAAAUGUGAAAACACACACAAAAAUGGAAAGACCGUUCACAAAACAAAAACUCGUAGCAUGUUACGACAGUAUAGAUAUUAUCUUAUUUUUCUCUUUUAUUUUUAUUGUUGGUCUGGAUUCAUUCCAUUGAUUUCAUGACCACAGUUUAAGUAAUAACGGUCUAGCUUUAUUUUUAAUAGCUUUCAAGGUUUCAUAUUCUAGGGUUCUUUUCUAUCAAGAACUUGCACUUGAAGGAGGAUAUGGCAGCUCAACAAAUAACAUGCACAACUGGGAGUGUGCAUUUAUUUUUCUAGAAAGAGAAGCCAUAGUUAUCAUCUGUCCUUCAGAGUAAUCCAUGAUCCAGAACACAAUAAAAUAUUAUGAAAAUCUAAGACUGAUGUGAAUAUACAAAGUAUUUAUAUCACUUUCCUCUCUGCUUUCUUUUCUACAGUCUAGUUCAUUAAACACAAAUUAUAGCUUCUUUUUCUCCCUUGAAAUUAAAUGUAAAGAGUUCAAACUCCAUCUGUUGAAUCUACAACCCAGAAACAUUACCCACUAUGUUGAAGAGUGAAUAAAUCAAGGAUAUCAGCUCGAAAUCUAUUGUCAUAUUCCACCUCUAAAAUUUCCUUACAACAACUAGCGUUACAUCUCCUGAAUUUUAAAGCUGUUAUGAGACAUGGUUAAUCCGCCCUAAUAUAUUGGUCAAGGAGCCACCAAUCUUUUAUGAAGUAUACGCAUGUAUCUCCCACUUUUCAAAAGUUCACAUUAUGGACUUCGCUCUUAUGAAGGACCUACAUUAAUACAUGUUUUCACUAGCCAGAGGAAAUACAAAGAGAAAUUUUGCUUUUAUGAAAAAAAAGCACAACAGGCCUUCAGCAUUUGUUUUGCAGUGAGCCAUUCCAGAGGCAGUACACAUUUUGAGAAAAGUGGCACCACCACUCCCCUUCCCCAGGAACUCUACUCAGCAUCAAGCUCCAUAGCUCUGAACUCUAUGAGCAUCUGUGCUUUACACCUUGAUUUAUUUUGUGCAUCCAUUAGCAACAUGUGUCCUAAAGUAUCAGAAAAGCCAAAGAGAGGCUAUUUUUUGGGGUCUGGGAACACUCAAGACUUUUUCCAAAUAAACUAAUGGUAAUUGCUUCUUCUUUGUGCCAUUUUGGCCUACAAAAGGUUUCACAGGUACACUGUACUUCUGGAUAGUAGGGGAAACAUGUGCUCUUAAAAUACAACAUGCUAAUCAUGUAACAUGUUAAAUGACUGGCAUACGAUAGUGAGCAAGAUUAUGAACCAAACUUAACAAGUUAGCUAGUAAAAGUGGAUUUUAGAUAAUUUUUACAAUUGUCAGAAAGUUCAAUCAUCUUUCUCUCUUUUCAUUCAAUUCCCAAUAAUAACAAAAUUAUCAACAGAAUUCAAGUUCACUUAGAUCAUCCUCUUCACCACUGGAAGGUUUGCCAGACAUCCCUCUUUAUUUUAGUAGAAACCUGUAUAUUCAGUUUGGGACCUGAAUGAGAUUUGGAACAGAGAGGGACAAUACAAAUUAAUACAUUUAAUGCAACUCUGUCCACAGAUAAAGUGACUAGGUGUCCAGAAGAUUAAGGGAGUUGUGAAUAGUUAGGGAGGGGGGCAAUGUCUGGACUAGAAUAAAGAUUUCCAGACUGCUUGCCUAAUGUUGUCUGUUCCGCUCUGAUUUCCAUCCACAGUUAAUUAUCCCCACAUUUUUACAUAAUGCUUUAUUUUCAUAUUUUUAUCUACUUUAAAAGAAAAAAAAUAUAUGCAAAAAUUACAGAUAUGAAAACCAUGAACAUGUGUAUGUGUGUGUGUACACACACACACACACACACACACACACACACACACACUCCAUACCCUGCAGAAAGAAUUCUAGGGCAUUUUCUGGAAAGAAAUGGAGAGGAACUCUAACAGGAAGGAACAUAAAUGCCUAACAGCCAUGAGGAAGCUGCUGAAACACACAGAAGAGGCUCUCCAGGUAAAACGAAAGUUGGAAAAACCAGGCACUCGUGGUCUACCCCAACAAAUCCUAUGUCAACAACCAAGAAUGCUGGCAACUCUUGUUUAACUUGCUCUAACUCUGGACUCCUUGUCUGAACUUGCAUUUGGUUUACCACAAGAUACCUAAACAGCUACAAGUGAAGUUAACAUGAUAAACUGUGGAAAGGAUCACUUCUAAAAAUUACUGAUAGACCAUCACAGAGGAGAGAAAUUUCAAUCUAACCUGAUUAAGUCACAAUGGAACAGGGUAUUGUUUUUGCUUACUUUUCAAUACUGAGCAAAAAAUACGCUUGUGAUAUAAGAGAUAAAAAAGAUAAGCAGCAAAAUGUUGGCAGUUCCUAAAAAUAGCAACAGCUGUUGGAAAAUAGACGAUAUACUUUCUAAAUUUAGAAAUAAAUAUGGAGCCAAGCAUUGGCAGCAUGGUAUAGUGAAAAAAGCAAGAGCCAUCAAGAAGUGACCUUAAGGUACUGAAUAUCCAUGAGUCUCAUUUUAUUCAUCUGCUAAAUGGGGUAAUUAUACCCAUUCAGCCCUUUCAGGUUUACUGUGAAGGCAAGAUUACAUGUUUGUGAAAGCGUUUUGAUAAAAGUCUAAAACGCUUCCCAAAAGGUAAGCUUUCACUAUUAAUAACAACUGUACCCAAAGCAGGAAAUAUUUGUGAUACAAUCUUCCAAAACAACAAAAACCCAAAAAUUAAUCUGGCUCCCUGCCCUUAUAAUCUUCCAGGCCUCACAACUAAUGACAUUCCAUCCCCAUCUGCAGGCUUGCUCUAGCCUCACUCACAGGCCAAGAGGUCCUGGGUUGCUGAGGCUCUUUGUGGGGAUUUUGCAGGUGAGGUUGUGUUGUACACUGUGAUUAGGUCCCCACCUGAUGCCUAAAUCUACACCUGGAACCCAUACUCCAGGCCAGAUGUCCCCUGGAGUUCACGCCUAUGAGACCGCCUGUUGGCAGAUGCCCUGCUGGACCCCUUUUCUGAGAGGGCCCAAAGCUAAAAACUUACCCAUCUACGGAACUAGCAACUCGACUUGACCUCUCUCAGCCAUGACCUAGUUUGAAUUAUAGCACCAAGGGUGAGAACACAAGCAUUUCGGCGAAGCAUACCUCAGUGUGGCUGGAAGGAUAAGGCUCGUGGACAAUUUCAUUAAGUUAUUUCCUUCUCACCACACAGAGCUCCAGUUAACCUUCACUUGUUCUUUAAACUUAGAAAAUAUGCCCAAAGGUAGAAUGUGACUAUCUCUGAAGGCAGGAACAAUGAUUUCUUUUUAAAAUUUUGUAUGAUAUUUAACAUGAUAUUUGAUGCUUAUAUAAGCUGUGUCUGUAUACACUUGUUUGGAAUACUAAACACCUCACUGAAAUCCCAAGUCAUUCUCUAUCAUGUUAAAUGAGGUGAUCGUGAGAAGAAACAGUAUAUAAAAUUUAUCAUAUGAGAUACUCUAAAGAUAACUAUUUUUUUUUAUUUUUUUAAUGUUUUUAUUUAUUUUUGAGACAGAGAGAGACAGAGCAUGAGCAGGGGAGGGGCAGAGAAAGAGGUUGAUACAGAAUCCGAAGCAGGCUCCAGGUUCUGAGCUGUCAGCACAGAGCCCGACGCAGGGCUCAAACUCACAGACUGUGUGUGUGUGUGUGUGUGUGUGUGUGUGUGUGUGUGAGAGAGAGAGAGAGAGAGAGAGAGAGAGAGAGAGAGAAAGAGAAAGAGAAUCCCAACCAGGCUUUGCACUUACUGUCAGUACAGAGCUCAAUGCAGGGCUUGAUCUCACAAAACUUGAGAUCAUGACCUUGAGUCAGACGCCCAACUGAAUGUGCCAUUAUUUAAUUAUUAAGACCUCCCCUGUUUUAACGUCUCUGAAAUUGGAUUUAUCUUAUAAUUGAUGGCAGCUAAUAGUACAACUAGUAGGACUUUUUCUUCCCUUUCUUAUUUGUACAUAAAAUAAUACCAUGUCUUACAGCUGAUGACACCUUAUAAUCAGUGAAAUAAGGUAAAAGACACACAAGUCAAUGGAAAGAAAGGAUUCUCUUUAGAUUGGUUAAUUAUUCCCCCAACCAGGCAAGAUGGCCUCUCAAAAUUCUGGCUCAACUACACUAGAAUAACUAAGCUUUCAUCAAGAAGUCCUUUGUUAAAGUUUAUAAUCACAAUUCUCAAUUGAGUUUGCUACUUUGACAACCAAUAAUAUGCAGAGAGUCUAGAUGGAAAUUCCAAAAUGAGAAUUUCCAUCGGUAAGAGAUCCAGCAUUAAUGCAAUGCAUUUCUCCUAUUUUCUCAGGGCACAACAACUAUACAUGUACACACACCUGGUUAAUAGAAGCCUGUUAAUUCUUUGGGUAAUGUUUACUAAAGAUAUUUUACCAAUCAAUGUAAGAUUAACUUACAACAUCAUUACACAUAGAUUAAACCUGGAGCUAAAUGAGUCCUUAGAAAUCAUUAUUUUCAAACAAAGAGAAUCUACAUUAAAAUGCUAAAGAGGGAGACAUAUUGUUACUAUAAUACAAUGAUUCUAUUCUAUGUAUUACUUUCACCUAGGUACCUAAAAACAACUUAUCCAAAGAAAAGUAAAAUCAGGCCUCAAGAAGUCUCUUGUGAGAAGGCCAGAAAGAAGACUACAGUGAUCCAACAGGGGACAUUAAUCCUACUAGAAAUGCUGGAAUGGAACAAUCUUGCUGUGACCUUCUGUAGGUUGGCUGUUGGCUUCAGUUCACAGGAAGAAAAUCGUGUGCUAGUCAAAGAAAAACAUUUUUUCUUAGUUUUUUUUUUUUUUUAACUUCAGUGGGUGAUUUUUUUUUCCUGAUAUUAGGAAUAACUAAAAACAUUUCCAUAGUCAGAUCAUUAAAAUAAAAUCCAAAGCCCUUCUUCAUUAAGGCCUAACCUAAACUUAACCAAAGAAUGUCUUGCUGUAUUUGGGAAAGUCACUUUUCCAAUAAGCACAUGGAAUGGGACAAUGCUCUAAUCAUCAGAUACUGUAUAUCAAUACUGGUUAUUAAUGGGGUAAAUAUCGCAGACCAAUUUCCCUAACAUUCACAAUUCUACUGGUAAAAAAAACUCUACAAGAUGAAAAAAAAAAAGAUUACCAAAUACCAGUCAUCUAAAUAUGUGUUGUGCCCUUAGUCACUAAAAGGUGCUUAGAAAUGAACACUGUUCUCCUACCAUUCAAUUUACCACUACCUCCUAAAACACCUGAAGUAAUGAUAUACAUGAUAUUAGGUUUAAAAUUUUUAUCACUCUAAAGUGAACAGAAUUAGGUUUGGUAAAGGCAAGGC